CUUGCUCUGCUUGUCCAGACGAAAUCGGCCGGCCGCCCGGGAUGCACGCCGCGCGUCGCCCAUCCGCCGCCGGUGGGCGUCCUUGCGCCCACGCUCCCGACGACCGCGCCGCAAGGUCUCCUCGCAGUCAACCCGACGGGACGACCGCCCAUACCGUGCCCAUGCCGCGGCGUCGCGUCGUCCCUGCUCGCUCGUCCUCGGCCGUCCUCCCAGCACUGCUCGCGCGUCCUUGCAUCGUACUCGCCAUCCCCAUCCUCCUCGGCCGGCCCAUCUCCACGCGCCCAGCGCACACCCGGCGCACACCCACGCUCUCCUCCCCACCGAGCAAAUCCAAGAAAGCAGUUAUGUGCUCUUCUCCUUCCAUCGCAAGCACCAGAAGCCUGGGCUCUUCUUUUCCCUUCUCUGCUCAGUUCCUCUCCACCGAGCGGAGCAAGCAAAUUAGCACUGCCUCCCUCCAAAUCGUGAAACACCAGGGCACCUCUUUCAAAACCGUGCCGUGCUUUGGUUGCACGCGUCUCCGCGGCGAGUGCUGCUGGCCGGAGUUCGCGGACCCCGGCACGGGAGCCAUUCCUGCAGCGGCACCAUCAGACCUGCGCCGACUCAUCCUCGACACCCAGCCGCCAUCGGCAACCUCAACACAUGGCUCUCGUCCACCCCCACUAGCACGCCUGCAACUUGUUCGACGAUAUGCCCCAACCAGGAGCUGCAACCACGACCGUGCUGAGCUGCUGUCUUCUACCUCUUCACCAAGCUGCAUCAACCCCGCCGCCUAAGGAGCAGCGUUGUGGUUGUGGAGUUCUCUUGGUGUGCUGGUGCUCCUCCCCGGCGCUGCAGCACAGCCACACGCAACAAGCAGGAACUGCAGAGGAGCAGGUGCAGGAGGAGUCCUAGCACAAGCAGCCAGAAGACCCAGCCCAAGGUCCGGAGGGGCCAAGGCCUUGAUAGUGCUAACACCGAGCAGUAGAAAAGCAAGCCCUGGAGUAACCUUUAUUUUCAAAACCAUGCAAUGUUUUAUUCAAGUAUUGUGCAUUUACGUUUUCAAGUUGAAUGAAACAAUAGAUGCAUGAUCCAUAGUUUCCCAUGGUUAUACUAGUAUGUGUAGGUCGCUACCUCCACCAUGCUAAUUAAGUUCGGUAGAAAUUAGGUGAUUGUUUGUCACUCGCGAGAGAUAAGGUCUCUGGAUGCUUAUACUUGUUCUAUGGAUAAAUAGUUCACAUGGUAAAGUGAGAGAAUGGACGGAGAGGAUUUGGUUAAGGAUAUGACAUGGAUUGAAAGAGUAGCUCCGCCUGUGUCAAUUAAGGCUCGUUCGUUGUGGCACAGUUGAUCAAGUUUGAACAAUACUAAUCACAUGCUGGGAGUAGGAGGUAGUCGAAACUAGUAAACUGAUGUAGCUUGUGUCACUCCAGAAUUUGAACUAUGCGAGCUCCUCUUGGCGUGGGAUGAGGGCAGGGGAAAGGACCUAUAACCCACCGAUGACCGAGUUGCUUGCAGUGUCGUGAUGGGGGUUGACCUUGUAAUGGAAAAAGAAGUGCUUCGAAUCAUUGCUAUUUGACUCGAACCUAUUCUGAAAAAGUUGAGGUAUUUCAAAUUGUUGACACGGACAAAGCCGGGAGUUGCAAACAUAGUUUAGAUGUUCGGUGGUGUACUCAUGAAAAGUUGCCACGUGUGACCUCCGGGUGUGCACGUGUCGUGUGAUUAGGUUUUCCUUGCAAAGAUUAAAUCAAAUCGAUUCGCCGUACCUCUCGAAUAAGAGACCCUUGAUCUCUGUCUCAUCGUAGCAAAGAAGUGGAAUAUGGUGAUGAUAAUUUCUAUUGUUAUGCUAAUCAAUUGUUUUUCCAUACUAAAGUGUUGUAGUUCCACGGACUUAGAGAAUAUCUGCUCUCACAUUAAAAUGUGGUUAAAAUAUUGAAAGUAAGGAUCAACUAUUAGUAUCUUUUUGGCAAAGCAAAUCCUAGAGCCAAAAGCUUUGCAUACUAGAAGUCGGCUAAGUAUAUACCAUAGUCGGGUAAGUCUUGCUCAGUAUUAGUAUACUUAAGGCCUGUUACUUAAAUUAUUUCAGGAGGCCCCGCUUCUCUAUGAUGUCAUACUGGUGGGCUUGAUGUGAUGUCUUCCUCUCAUCAUCGUUAUCACUUUAGAGUUAGUGAUCGGUAUUUGUGUUUUAAACUGGAUUUUCGAUGUACCUUUGAAAUCUAGUAUUAUUCAUCUAUUUAAUUUUUUUUGUAAACUUUUAUAGCAUCCUUGUGUUGUAUCAUUUAUUUUGAAGUAAAAGUUGCCUGUUUGUACUAUCUGCGCUCACGUAAAACCUUUACGUGAGAUUACUAGUGUUUGUUUCGAUCCGUA